GCGGCAUCUCCUUGCAGCUGCCUGGAGGUGGGUCACAGGGCACGGCGCGCUGCAUUCUGUGACGGGGACCUGGGCCUCCCCCACCACAUGCAGGGCUGAGGAUCCAGGGCUCCAGGGACUGGGGGUGGAGUCCAGCACCAAGGAUGCGGCCAGGAGGCCCCUAAGCAGCCCCGAUGCUGGGUACUGUCUGGUGUCCCAGCCCCGCACCCCCUAGGGCCGUGGGACGUCAGCUCUGCAGGCUGCAGGACGUAGUAGGAAGCGGACAGUGCCAAGAUGGAGCUGUGCGUGGAUUUGGGGACCUUCAGGCCGCUUUGCAGAGCACAGGCUUGGGCCUCGAGGAGGACCGGUUUCCAGGAACAGCAGCAGCAGACAGGGGGCCGGCCGAGACUGACAGGGCCUGCGGAGCCGGAGGAAGGCUGGGGGCAGGGACACCACUCAGGACACCUGCAGGCUGGCGUCUCCACUGCCUGGACGUUGACCCAACAGGCUGCUAUGGAAAGAAGCAGGAAGCCGGAGGGAAAGUUCUGCUGCUCCGCUGCACCGCUGGGUGACAACAAUUAACAACAAUGAGCCUAAUACUUCACAGAAGCUGGAGAAGGGGUUGCCGAUGUUCCCACCAGGAAGAACCGAUCAAUGUCUGAGCGGGUGGAUCACCAAGUACCCUGAUUUGAUCCUUGCCCAAUGUGUGCAUUUGCUGAGAUAUCCCACUAUCCCACAUAAAUCUGUUCAAUUAUUACUUGUGAAUCAAAAAUAAAACAAAA
rnacentral:lncRNA from 1 species